rnacentral:rRNA from 1 species
UACGUAGGGCGCAAGCGUUGUCCGGAAUUAUUGGGCGUAAAGAGCUCGUAGGCGGCUUGUCGCGUCGGUUGUGAAAGCCCGGGGCUUAACCCCGGGUCUGCAGUCGAUACGGGCAGGCUAGAGUUCGGUAGGGGAGAUCGGAAUUCCUGGUGUGGCGGUGAAAUGCGCAGAUAUCAGGAGGAACACCGGUGGCGAAGGCGGAUCUCUGGGCCGAUACUGACGCUGAGGAGCGAAAGCGUGGGGAGCGAACAGG